rnacentral:rRNA from 1 species
ACUCAAAGGAAUUGACGGGGACUUGCACAAGCGGUGGAUUAUGCGGUUCAAUUCGUCGACAAACGAAAAACCUUACCAAGGCUAGAAAUCUAGCUGAAUGCAAGCAGAAACGUUUGCAGUCUCACAAGGACAGCUAGACAGGUGAUGCAUGGCCGUCGUCAGUUCGUGAUUUGAAUUGUUCCCUUAAGUGGGGUAACGAACGCAACCCUCGUUGGUUGUUACAAGUGUCAACCGAGACCACCCAGCACUUUGCGCACAAAUUUUGCGCACAGAGUGCUGGGAGGAAGCGAGGAUGACGCCAGGUCAGCAUGUCCCUCUGAUGCCUUGGGCCACACGCAUAAUACAAUCGCCGGUACAACGCGUUGCGACGGGGUAACCCUGAGCUAAUCGUAAUAAGCCGGCGCCAGUUCGGAUUGGGGGCUGCAACUCGACCCCAUGAAGUUGGAAUCGCUAGUAAUCGCGGGUCAGCUAUACCGCGGUGAAUACGUUCUCAAGUCUUGUACACACCGCCCGU